rnacentral:rRNA from 1 species
CCCCUUUUUUUUACAAACAUGUCUUAAUGUUUGAUUUAUUAAGUUUGACCUGCUCAAUGAUUAAUAUUAAAUAGCCGCAGUAUUUUGACUGUGCGAAGGUAGCAUAAUCAUUUGUCUUUUAAUUGAAGGCUGGAAUGAAUGGUUGGAUGAGGAGAUUACUUUCUUUAUAUUAUUAGAUAUAAUUUAAUAUUUAAGUUAAAAAGCUUAAAUUUAUUAGGGGGACGAGAAGACCCUAUAGAAUUUUAUUUAUAUAAGGGUUAUUUCUAUUAUUGUUAAUUAUUAAAAUAACUUUUAUAUAAAUUUUGUUGGGGUGACAUUGAGAUUCUUUUAACUCUCAUAUACAAAUAUUUACAAAUGAGUAUUUUAUAAAUCCUUUAUUAAGGAAUUUAGUUUAAAUUACCUUAGGGAUAACAGCGUAAUUUUUUUGGAGAGUUCUUAUCGAUAAAGGAGUUUGCGACCUCGAUGUUGGAUUAAAGUUAGAUUUAAGUGCAGAAGCUUAAUUUCUAGGUCUGUUCGACCUUUAAAUUUUUACAUGAUCUGUUUUCCACCCG